UCUGUCAGUCUUGGAUGAACAACUUUCUUGUUAACUUCUUGAACAAAGACUAACUUACCACACAGCAUUCUGUAAAAAGCACAGCAGGCUAAGCAGUCUUAAUGAAUGAGAAGAACCUUGAUAACAUUACUGUGCCACAAAUUUAUAUCUGCAUCUUAUGUGCACCUUUUCCCCACUCAAGGAAAGAAGAAAAAAAACACAACAAAAAAACAGAAAAGCAGUAGGAAUGAUCAGUGUACCACUCAAGAAAGCAACUGAGCAGGUUUAGGACUCUUGAGCCUUGAAAAAUUUAAAAGGUCUACAGAAAGAGAUCUCAAGAAAGAGAAGUCGAGAAAUCUUUAGAGAAACUACUUACAUACAUGCCUGCCUAUUAUACAUUUCCAUAAGCAUUUGCUUCUGGCCACCAAGUUUCCAGGUGUAUUUUUGAUGAGACAAUAUAAAGCCACUCAUCUUCUACUCCUCCAGCAGUGGCUACUUUAGUUGUCAGUGUGGGGAAAGAAAACGGAAGGACUAAGGGGCUUGGCUCUACAGUAUACAAGGCAUAGUACCUUUUCUACAGCCAAGCCCUAGACCUUUGCACCUACUUUCCUCCAAAUCUUCUCUGAUCAGCCUUCCCCAUAGGCUUCAAAAACAGGAACAUAGGUUCCAAAACAGGCCAAAAGAAGGUCAUCUUGAAUAUCCUACAAGUUAUCCUGGUUAUCCUAUAUUCAUUCACCUCUCUGUUCACUUUCCCUUCCUACUUCUUUGCAUUAGCAUUCACCUGAUCAUGUUUAAGCUUAUGAAUGGAAUGAAAACUUGUGCAAAUUGUUUUUUCUUCAGGUUGAGCUAGUUGAAAGCACAAGGAAUCCACUGAGAACCAAUGCGAGUACAAAGAAGGGAAUGAAGACAGCCACGAACAGGCUACAUUCGUAGCAGGACCAACCAAUUAUGUAGAUCCACAUGUAAACUUCUGAGUUUGCAAAUAAGAGACCACAAUUUAGUUGGAAGACAUGGAACAAGCAUUGUUCAACACUGGUGCCUGAUAUUUCUGGCACGAAGAUGGUAAAAGACCAAACACAGCCCACCCCGCCUCUACAACUGGAGCUGCUGAGACAAGGAAGCCAGAUUACCACAGAUAAGAAGCACAGGAUGUGUCAACAACUUCCACGCAGGCUCUUCUCAAGGGGCAGCAUCUUGUAUUAUUACAGGGAGUGCAACACACGAAACAAACAAAGCCUUCCUAACCCUGCUGUGUCUCAGCUGAACUUCUGAGAAGACUGAAGCACAAGUAGAAAACUGAGGUUCAGCUGUGUUUAAAAAAAGUAACAUGAUUCCAAUUCAGAGAAGGAAGUAUUAAUAGAAGUUUACAGAACACAACAUCUGGCAGCGUCCUCCAUCAGCAACAGUACUACAUGUAAUUUUUACAUGUUGAAAAAAAAAAGAGCAUGUUUUGACUGUACUUUGGAGAUGAAACCGGCUGAUAAGGAAAUAAAGGCUUUUAUAUUAAGGAGUUUAACAAUACCUUGCUUCUCACCACUUCCUCUUAAUUACUUUUAACACACAAGUACUACAACAGUCUAAGUUUAAACAUAUUGUCUUAAAAAAGCAAAGAAGUUUC